rnacentral:rRNA from 1 species
UACGUAGGGGGCUAGCGUUGUCCGGAAUCAUUGGGCGUAAAGAGCGUGUAGGCGGUCCGGUAAGUCCGCUGUGAAAGUCGGGGGCUCAACCCUCGAAUGCCGGUGGAUACUGUCGGGCUAGAGUACGGAAGAGGCGAGUGGAAUUCCUGGUGUAGCGGUGAAAUGCGCAGAUAUCAGGAGGAACACCUAUUGCGAAGGCAGCUCCGCUGGGACGUAACUGACGCUGAGACGCGAAAGCGUGGGAGCAACAGG